rnacentral:rRNA from 1 species
ACUUUUAACAACGGAUCUCUUGGUUCUCGCAUCGAUGAAGAACGUAGCAAAGUGCGAUAACUAGUGUGAAUUGCAUAUUCAGUGAAUCAUCGAGUCUUUGAACGCAACUUGCGCUCAAUGGUAUUCCAUUGAGCACGCCUGUUUCAGUAUC